rnacentral:rRNA from 1 species
AACGCGAAGAACCUUACCUAGGCUUGACAUGUACGCGAAGGCCGUGAGAGAUCGCGGUCGCCCUUCGGGGCGCGUGCACAGGUGCUGCAUGGCUGUCGUCAGCUCGUGUCGUGAGAUGUUGGGUUAAGUCCCGCAACGAGCGCAACCCUUAUCCCUAGUUGCCAUCGGGUCAAGCCGGGCACUCUAGUGAAACUGCCUCGGAUAACGAGGAGGAAGGUGGGGAUGACGUCAAGUCCUCAUGGCCUUUAUGUCCAGGGCUACACACGUGCUACAAUGGUCGGUACAAACCGUCGCAAACCCGUGAGGGGGAGCUAAUCGGAAAAAGCCGGCCUCAGUUCGGAUUGGAGUCUGCAACUCGACUCCAUGAAGCUGGAAUCGCUAGUAAUCGCGGAUCAGAACGCCGCGGUGAAUACGUUCCCGGGCCUUGUACACACCGAGACGAC